GGGAGGGGGGGGACGACAGGUGAGAUCUGGCACAAGCUGGAGCGAGAUCUCCUGGCGUGCCAGUCUCUGCCAGCACCGGCCUUAAAGGACCAGACAGCAACCCAGACACCAAAGGGCGAGCCUGCAGCCAAACCCUGAGAUUUUUUGAAGUGCUUCUGCCUGUGGUGAUCAUGUGAGAAUGGAAAUCUAAGUUUCCAACUGGAAGAGCUCGCCACCUUCAACUCGGCAGAACGUCGUCCCACCGGCCAAGACAGUGGCCACCAGCCAUCCAGCAAGUCCAGGAGCGGAGCUCUUACUGCAGUGGUACAUUCUACUCUGUCAGCAUAUAACCAAUGCCUAGCUCCCUGGCCAUCACAGAUAUUACAAGUUGUGACUGACCUAAUUCCAAGUGGCUCGUCGAUUAAUAAUGACCAAAAUCAGUAACAUCCAAAAAUAUUCAAAAUGUUCAAAAAUUUCAAAAAUAUCUCCACGGCCUUCCCCUCCCAGAGCCGUAAUAAUCAUGGUACCUUGAGAGGGCUCCUGUAACAGGGCAUUUUCCUGGGCAUUUCCAGGGCGUUUACAGAUAUGGUGACUGGUGCUAUGAUACAGUUAGGGGACUCAACAUUAGACAACAAAAGAUGUCUUGGUAGGAAGCAUGAUUCAGUUUGAGCCAAAUGUAUAAUCAUGUUUUUCUUCCUGCAGCCCAUUAAAAACAAAUCCAGGAAGCAGAAAAUAAAGUACAUAUUCCAGUACUAUUAUUUUCUCUUGAUAGCCCAACAUGUCAGAGUCAGCUAUGCAGACAUCACUCCUAAACUAUCAGGCCUUGUGUUAGGAGGCUUGAGAGACUUUCCCUGUUAUCGACAAUGCUUCAUCUCUGAUAGCUAUUGCAUCCGGUCUUGAAAAGCUGUAGUAAGCAAGGGCCCCCCACACAGCUGAAUUCUGUUCUUGUUCAUAUUUCGUUGAUCUCAAGUCUAGAUUAAGACAAUUCCAAAAACCAAAGAGUAUUUCGAGAAUAUAAAUUCUCUUCUGACCUAAGAGCAUCAGCAAAUCUCAAAUAUCAGAGCAGCUACAGCUGACAGAAAAUGUCCCAAAACUUGGGCCAGGAAUGAUUUAUGGGUUCAUGAGCUAAUCUGUCUGGCACUGUUGUUUAUAGAGCCAAAGAAGUUACUCACAAGUGACUGAUAUAUUCAUAUCCACCAUGUUGGCCCAUCAAGCCAAUUAAAACCAGCUGGACAUUAACUCCAUCCUAUGUGACUGGGACAAACAAAUGUAUCAUUUUCAGAAUGCUUAACUCAUUACCAAGAAACCUAGACAUCAGAACCUGUUCCCUGGUAGGAAAUAGCUGACAGCCAGCACCUUAUUGUAUAAGCUCAAAACAAAAAUUUGCUUGAAAAGAAAAUGGUGACAAGACUUGCCUUGCCAUAGCAAGAAAUGUUGUAAUUUAAAUUAAAAGCAUGAAUACUAAAGAUACAAGUCUGUGGUCACUGUGUGAACUGACUCAUGUUCUUGAUUUAUAUAACAAAACACUUUACCUAGGCAGAGUUUUCAAAUCAAAUUUACAGGCACCAUAUGAUGGGACUUUUGAAAGGGGGCUUUGUUUUUACUGUUUGUCUUUGUUUUCUCAUUUUAUUUCUUUCUUUUUUUUUUAGAAAAAGUGAUUAAACCCAGGACCCCAUGCUAGGCAAGCACUCUACUAUUGAGCCACAACCCCAGCCCCAGUAUUGAUUUUUAAUUCAGUCUCUCCUAAGAACACAAGUGUGUCAAAGCACACUAAUAACCUAUGUGGCAAAUUUCUAAAAUACAUUACACUUAAGUUUAACAAAAUCAUUUGUAAUUCAGUCUUUUCUAAGAAUGCGAACAUAUGGAACUAUACUAAUACUGUAUGUGAAAAGGAUUUCAAAAUAUAUUACAUGAUAGAUCACGCUUAAGCUUAAUGAAAACUGCCAUCUUUUUACACUUAAACAUGAACUUGUGGUAAGUCAGAUUCCUUCUGCAUAAGAAGAUUUGACCAGAAGGAGAGAAAUCCAUUCUUCUGGGGUCCUCCACGCUCUUUGCCUCUCUGAAGUGUUAUGAAAUAAAAUAUGCAAA